rnacentral:rRNA from 1 species
AGAGUUUGAUCAUGGCUCAGGACGAACGCUGGCGGCGUGCUCUAACACAUGCAAGUCGAACGGGACUCAGCCCUUCGGGACUGAGUUUAGUGGCGAACGGGUGAGUUACGCGUGAGGAACCUGCCUUUCAGUGGGGGACAACAGUUGGAAACGACUGCUAAUACCGCAUAAUACUUUCGAGCGGCAUCGUUUGAAAGUCAAAGAUUUAUUGCUGAAAGAUGGCCUCGCGUCUGAUUAGCUGGUUGGUGAGGUAACGGCCCACCAAGGCGACGAUCAGUAGCCGGUCUGAGAGGAUGAACGGCCACAUUGGGACUGAGAUACGGCCCAGACUCCUACGGGAGGCAGCAGUGGGGAAUAUUGGGCAAUGGGGGAAACCCUGACCCAGCAACGCCGCGUGAAGGAAGAAGGCCUUCGGGUUGUAAACUUCUUUUACCAGGGACGAAAAAAGUGACGGUACCUGGAGAAAAAGCAACGGCUAACUACGUGCCAGCAGCCGCGGUAAUACGUAGGUUGCAAGCGUUGUCCGGAUUUACUGGGUGUAAAGGGCGUGUAGGCGGAGAUGCAAGUUGGGAGUGAAAUCCAUGGGCUCAACCCAUGAACUGCUCUCAAAACUGUAUCCCUUGAGUAUCGGAGAGGCAAGCGGAAUUCCUAGUGUAGCGGUGAAAUGCGUAGAUAUUAGGAGGAACACCAGUGGCGAAGGCGGCUUGCUGGACGACAACUGACGCUGAGGCGCGAAAGCGUGGGGAGCAAACAGGAUUAGAUACCCCGGUAGUCCACGCUGUAAACGAUGAAUAUUAGGUGUGGGAGGACUGACCCCUUCCGUGCCGCAGUU